rnacentral:snRNA from 1 species
AUGAUGGUGCCGGGUUCAGGGUGAUCAAGAGAAGAGUGCUCUGACCCCGGGUGGAGGCUCACCAUUGCACCUUGGUGGGUUGAAACUCGCGACGGACCCUAAUCGGGUGCGCUCAGACGUGUAGUUUCUGUCAGUGGGGAGGCCUCAUGAUCCUCCCUU